rnacentral:rRNA from 1 species
GAUGAACGCUGGCGGCGUGCCUAAUACAUGCAAGUCGAGAGAACGGACGAGAAGCUUGCUUUUCUGAUGUUAGCGGCGGACGGGUGAGUAACACGUGGAUAACCUACCUAUAAGACUGGGAUAACUUCGGGAAACCGGAGCUAAUACCGGAUAAUAUUUUGAACCGCAUGGUUCAAAAGUGAAAGACGGUCUUGCUGUCACUUAUAGAUGGAUCCGCGCUGCAUUAGCUAGUUGGUAAGGUAACGGCUUACCAAGGCAACGAUGCAUAGCCGACCUGAGAGGGUGAUCGGCCACACUGGAACUGAGACACGGUCCAGACUCCUACGGGAGGCAGCAGUAGGGAAUCUUCCGCAAUGGGCGAAAGCCUGACGGAGCAACGCCGCGUGAGUGAUGAAGGUCUUCGGAUCGUAAAACUCUGUUAUUAGGGAAGAACAUAUGUGUAAGUAACUGUGCACAUCUUGACGGUACCUAAUCAGAAAGCCACGGCUAACUACGUG